rnacentral:rRNA from 1 species
AUACCCUAUUAUUUUUAAUGUGAAAGUAGAAGGCUGAAAUAUUAAUAGGAAUGACCUUAAAAUUUAAAGAAUUUGGCGGUAUUAUAGGACUAUUUAGAGGAAUCUGUUAUGUAAUCGAUAAUCCACGUUGAACCUUACUUGUAUAAUUUCUUGUAUAUCGCUGUUGUGAAUUAUAUUUAUAGAUAUAAAUCAAAAAUGAAAUCUUGUAGUUUCAAGUCAUGGUGCAGUAAUAAUAUAUAAGAAAAUAAUGGAUUACAAUAAAUUGUAUUUAAAUAUGGAUAAAAAUUGAAAUUGUUGAAUUGAAGGUGGAUUUAGUUGUAAUUUUAUAAAGAUUAUUAAGUUGAUUUUAGCUCUGUAAUAUGUACACAUCGC